ACAGCUUUCGCCAGGAUUCUAGAAUAGCCAAUACCACAUACCUACGGACUUAAAAAUGUUUGGAAAAUCGGCAUUGUUCAUUGUGGUACUGACAUUGGCAACUGCAUUUGGUACCCCUGUCGGACUCGGAGGACUAGGAGCACUUGGAGGACUCGGCUAUAAUGGACUCGGUGGAUUUGGUGGAGGGCUCGGAGGACUAGGAUUGGGAUACGGCGGUAUGGGAGGCAUGAUGGCAAGACCUGGUCUAGGUGGUCUUGGUGGUGCUUACUUGGGUUAAGUCCUAUGAUCGAUAUAAAGGGUCUUAGGUCGUAGUCUAUUCUUUAAAGUGAAGUUUAUAACACAAAAUUUGUAAACUGUUAAUCAUCUAUUGUUCCAACUUUACGUCUAAGCCAGGCCAAUAAAACUAUGAUU